GAGCUAAAUCCUCCACUAGUUCCAUGACGUCAUGGGGCCCCCUCCCCCUGCUGGGACCCGGGUGGGGGGCGCCUCCUGGGGAGAGCGCAAGGAGGACGGCGGUCCCUGUACGCACCAUCGGCCGUCGCUAACCUAGGACCGGGCUGGCAGGCUCGCCCCUGAGCCGAGGCUGCGCUGCAGCGGAACCCAGAUGAGUUCCCGCAACUUCCCAGGAUGAGUAUAUUGACCGAAUAAAGUGGACUGAAUACCCAGAUUAGGGAGAAAUACGGAAGGUUAAUCCAAGUCUGCAAGAAAUGGUCCUCUGAUCACAGCUAAGGGAACUCUAUAUCUGAACAGCUGGUAAUAAGAAUAGGACACAUGGGGCAUGAUGUAUAUGAGACAAACAUUAAGAGACAGAAGACAAAAAGCACUCAUUCAUCCAUCAAGAAUGUUGGGAACCUACUUUGUGCUAGACCCUGGGGAUGGAGUGGAAAUGGGACACAGUCCCUUUCCUUAAGGGACCUCCUGCAGGUCAACGCUAGAGGCAGUGAUAUCCUGCUAAAUGCUUAACAGCAGGAUCUCCAGGAAAAAAAGAAGCUCUGAUCAUGGUGUUCCACAGUGUAAAUAUUCCCACUAUGGCAAAUUUCAAGCUACAAAUGUGACAUCACCGAAAGCAAAGGUAGGAAGAGAUGUGCCAGCAAGCAAGCUGGCCCCAGCAUACCACUGAGAAGGCAGUAGAUAUCUGCAUAUCUGCAGGGCCUAUGGCCAGAACAGAGGAAUUUAUUGGGAGCGAAAGAAAAGCAGUCAGGGCAAAUAGUGCUGUCUAUUUUCCCUAGAGAAGAACUAGAAAGAAUGUUUUUAGUGUCAAUAAUCUGAUGUGUAUCCUGAGGGAAGAAAAGGGAAGAAAUUGAGUGGUGUUGAUGAGUGGUGAUAGCAUUUCUAGAAAGACAGUCUGGUAUUAUCUACAUUAAAAAAAUUUUUUUUGGCCUGGCACGUAGCUUAAUCUUCCAGAGCAGUGGCUUCCCCUGCAUUCAGAGGAGCUGUCUUAUAGCAUUUUCAGAGCUCAUGUCUUGCUGUGGGCAGUUAGAUACUAAUACACAUGUGUUAUAUGAUAAUAUUAAUAGAUACAAUUUAUUGAGUAACUAUUAUGAACCAGGCACUUCAUAUAUUUUAUGUCUAAUCCUUACAGCCCUGCAAGGUUGGUAUUUGUAUCCUCCUUUUUACAGAUGAGGAAACACUGAGUCAGUGAAACUGAGGAAGGUCCUUGUUUUCCCAGUUUAUCCAGGUUUGUGGUGGGCUUCAUGAACUUACAGGUUUCCUACAGAAGAUGCAAAUGACAAGAUCAAGAAGACAGUCCAGCUUAUAGAGCAUAUACCUGAGGCCUGUGAAUUUUGUGCUUUGUUACCUAUGAGACUACUUUUGGAGACUUCUAGAUAUAAGGGAUUUGAUUCUUCAUUUUAAGGAGGACACUGGAAAAAAUGGAGUCUAUCAAGAGAAGAGUGGUCAGGAUAGUCAGGAGUCUGUACAUCAAGUUGUAUAGGAACUGGGGACGUUGGCAAAGAUCAAUAGGAGAUGACAUGGAAGAUAGAUUUCAGCCCUAUGAAGGGCAGUCGUGUGGAGGAGCAGAAAGGCAUGUUCUGUGUGCCUCCAGAUGGUGGAAAUAGGCCCAAAGAUGGGGAAUUCAGUCAUGCAUCCCACAAACACUUAUUGGGCCUCUAUUUUCUUCCAAGCAUUGUGCUAAGGGCUGACAAGGGAAGGAUAUGGCGAUGAAAGGGACAUACAUCCUUGUUCAACAUCGUGAAGAACUUUCUGAAAGUCAGAGCUUUCUAACAAUGGAACAGGCUUCUGGAAAAGUAGUGAGCUUCCUACCCUCGGAGUAUUCAGGCAAAGGCUGGAUGUGUACUUAUCAGAAUGUGCCAGAAUGAAUCUUUUUGUUGAGCGGUACAUGGGACCAGAUCCCCUUCCAGUUCAGAGAUUCGGAGUCUUCAUUCAGCCUUGCUUCGGCAGGCUACAGUGCUGUGCUGAAAAAGUGUCAUCACGGUCCCCCUCCUACCGCCCGUGUCCAUCUAGCUGCAUGCUCCGCGUUCUCUGACACUGAGUGGUGGCGGGCCAGUUAGACUGGAAAGUGGCUGCCAUCUGUGACAGGGAUGAUGGCAUUUUGGCGGGUUUGUGUGGGCUCCAGGAAUGCAGCAUUGAAGCCAUGUACACACAACCUGCUUAAGAACAUCCCAUGGGCAGAAAAUGUUUUCUUCCUCUUCAUGCCUCCUCUGUUGCUGUGCCAGGCGGGCACAAUGGUGCCUUUGAGAGGGGCAGCUGGAAGGGGGUGUUGGCAGGGAGGCUGGAAGUAGAACAUUGCAGCUGAGGGGGAACCAAAUUCAUUUCCAGGAGCAAGCCUGCCCUGGAUGCCAGUUUCCAAAACAAAACUGCUGCUUCUCAGAGCUCACGGUGGUGGGUUGCCUCAGAGUUGGACAGAGGGCAAAGCCGUUUCCUAUCCGCUGCUCCAUCCUCCCCAAGUUAAAAAAAAUCCUGGUGUGUUGAGGCAUUCUUGCUCUGGAUGCAGAUUCAUGGGCUUUGCUGUCUGUCUGGGGAGCUCAGACCAACUUGGGGUGGAUGGGGCUUUCUGAAGGGUCAGACUUGCUUGCAGAUAGAACGGGGCUGAUGGCCAUAGCGGCAGGUAGGCUUCUUGGCCACCAGAGAGGGCUCAGGAUGGAGACCCUUCCUUCUGCCUUUCAGAGUCACUUCUUCUGACCCCCUAGCAGCCCUGCACCCUUGCUGCCAGAUGGGCUCUGCCCACUCACCGUCUUCACUCUCCUUGGUGGGAAAGAGGUGGGAGAACUCUGGCAUUUCCUGUCCUGGGUUCACAGUUGUCCCAGACCCUCGGCUACUUUCAAAGUUCUCAGCAACAGCUCAGAGAUGGGCGUGGGAGGUCUUCCCACUCACCUCACAGUUAGGAGAAGGCCUGAGUACCGGACUGCAAGCUCAGCCGUCUCCCACUCUGUGUUGCAGUUGGAGCAAGGUGGGUUCCCUUUUACUUUGGCGGCUUCCAACAAAAAGGUAUCACUUGAGUCCGGUCAAGUAGUAAUUUCUGUUAGUGUUCACACUAAUUAUGGGAUUUUUUUACACUUGGGUUCAAAUUGUACAAUCAAUAACUAGAGAGCAAUUACUUCAUUUCAGGUACUGGGGAGACAGGAUGAAUAAGAUAGAGGCCUUGCUUCAGACAGCCGACUGCUUAAGAGAUAUGCCAAGUUCUGAAUGGGAGCCCCACCACCAACUCAGCUGACACAUACAUUAGGGGGAAAGCAGAGGUGUAAUGCAGAGGCCAGCUCCUACCGGGAGGGCUGUGGCAUUGUGGGAGCAUGUGGGCUUUCAUCUGAUCUGAUCUUGCGGUACUUAUCUUUAGGAGACUCAAUUUCCUUGAGUAAAUAAUACACACCACGCAGAACUGUUAUGAGGAUUAAACCCGACAGUGUACCAAAGUGCCAGGACAGAGCUUGUGGCCAGGUGAGUGCUCAGGAAGUGACUGCUGUUGUUAUUAACUUGUGGAUCCCAAUGGACUUGAGAUACAAUGUGUAUGUGCACACAUUAUUUAACCGCUCCUUUGUUAGGUUAUAUGCCCUUCCUGAAAGAGUCAGUUCUUCUCCUUUCUUAAUUCCUCUUCUAUAGAAUACUAGCAUCAGCAAGUUUACGACCUCACUAAGAUAGAUAACCAAAGACCUAUCCACUAUAGCCAAUGAACAUAUUUGUAUGUAAUAUUCUCUGUCUGUUUCAUAACCCAGUUGUAGAAGCAGAAAAGGAUUGGAAUAGUUCUCAUCCAAGGUCCCUGAAUCUCCUGAGUGUAGAGAUGAAGAUCAUGAAUUCUUUUCAAUAUUCUAAGAAGUCUAAGAGAAAUAAUACAUUUCCCACUGACAGGGCCUCACAGGUCAUUAUUAUUUAAAAGAUGCAUUUGUUUGGUAGACAUAGCUUGGGGAAAGUUAUUCUUUCACUAAGGGACCUUGGUGGGUAGAAAAGUUAAGCUUGUUGGGGCAGAGGUUAGCCAAGAGAUCGCCCAGGAAUCUGUGUGGGGGUGCCUUGUAGCCCAACAUGCUGAGUCAUGUGACCCCAGCCUCAGUCUCCUGAGACCUCCUCGGGCCUCAUCUAUCCACUGUGCUGCAUAUACCCCUGUCUGCUUUGUGAAAAUGUAGGCAUGAGAAUUCAUCCCUAAAAAUUAUUCUGAAGUCCUUGGGAGACACAAAGCAUAUGUAGCCAGGAGUCUGAAGACAAAGAAAAUCAAAGCAAUUCACAAAGAACAAAGGAAAUGGAAAAGAACAAGAAAAUAAAAGCAUAUGGAUGAAUGGAGGCUUGAAGUGAAAUACAGGGUAUGCAUGUGUAGGGAAUAAAAAAGAGGGUCAUUUAAGAGAGAAAAAGUUAUGUGUCAGAAACUGUAAGCAAACAAUGGGAUUUUUAAAGAGGAACUGACAGAAACAAUUUCUUCGUAGUAGGCUGAAAGAUUUUAAGGAUCAGUGAAGGAAACUUAUAGUCAGUGCGUGGCUGAAAGAGGUAGAGAGAUGGAAAGGAUGGAGCUGUGUUUAAAAAUGGAUAAAGAUUUAGGAAAUCAAAGAAUCACAGAGGUCCUCCAGAGGCCUGCUUUUAAAGAUACAAAGGCUAAUAUUAUUACAGGAUUGAAAUAAGGUCAACAUUAGAACAGUACUGAUCCCUGAUUGCUGAGACUGUGGGUUACUUUUCCUUUUUGCCUCUCUAUGGUUUAAAAUGUUCUACCAUGGAUUUGGAUAGCUUUUAUAAUCAAGAAGAGAAUUUAGCACACGUAGUAGGAGGGAGCAGGAAGAAACUGAGGUGGGGUAUUUGGAGCAGUGAGAACUGUAGGAUGGGCAAGAAGGAGAAAUCUGAAGAGCAAGAGCUGCCUUGGGUGGCCUCACAGUGAGGAUGCUGCUGGAAAGAUGGAGCCCCUGGACUUGAUGGAGGAAGUGAAUGGACUCCAGAGACGGGAGAGGAUGUCCUCUAAGGCCCAUUCCAGUCUUUGACUCCAGGGUUUGAUGCAUGAUCAGGUUGCCACCUUUUGUUUUCUAAGAACUCAAAAUCCCCUGCAAUGCUCUCCUCAACUUUCCCUUCCCCAUGAAUACGUUUUCGUUUCAUCUCCCCUGGAAUCACUGUGGCUGUGUUGAUGGGCUGAGCAUUUGGCUAGUUCCCACCUUCAUUACUCCAAGCUCUGAAAGGCUCUACCUGCCCAAGCUGAGAAGGUGUAGAUGAUGCCAGAAGAGGCCAAGGUGCUUGAAGUUCUCUUCCCUCUAAUUGAGGAGUGUGCAAAAUUGCCAGUGGAUACCAAGGCAGCCAUGGGUUCUUUCCUGCCACUGACUGGCUGGGUGAACUUGGCCAAGCUACUGAACCUGUAAAGUCCUUGUUUUCGCUCUUCUGAAAAAUAAUGACACUUGACUGGAUUGGAGUAGCUAAAGAUAUCUGCUCAAUCUUAAAGUAAUCUGAUUCAUUAUUUACUCAGCUUCUUUACAUGCACAUGGCUGUGCUAAAUAUUAGUUUUAGAAUUUAGGAUUCUCAUAGACAGGGCCCAUCUCAUGAUAUGGCUUCAAGAUCCCUAGUACUGUGCCCAGCACAUUGCCUUUUGUAAAAAUCACGUUUAAAAAAUUGAGAUGAAAUUCACCUGACACAAAAUUAACCAUUUUAAAAUAUAUGAUUCAGUGGCCUUUAGUACUUUCACUCACGCUAUCUUUUUGAAGUGUUAGAAUAACACAAUCUUUGAGGUUGGUUCCGUUUUGUUUUAAUAAAACAGUGCUGCACUGCACCUCCAUGCUCAUCCCCUUGUGAACUCACGCACAGGAAACUCUCCAGGUCUAGGACGUGAAGAACCUGCUGGGUCAUUUGGCCUACAGGUGCAUUUUCAGUUCAGCAUUUGCCGUCAAACUGCUCUCCAGAGUGGUUUACCACUGCUGUCUGUCCCCCGGCAGUGUCUGAGAGUUUCCAUUUCUGCUCCUUCUCCCAUCGUGGGGUGCGAUAUUCCCCAUCGUGGUGUGGGAGCCCCACAGCACAGAGCAGGUAAAAGAAAUGAACCAGCUUCGGCAACGUCACCACGGAGAGAUCUCAAGAACUAAUGGUGAGUGAAAAAGGCAAGCUGCAGAGCACAAAAGGGUUGUGGGAACUCGACUCCAUCCAGAAAAUUUUAUUUUUUGGUUACAAAGAUACUUGAAGGGAAUACAACAAAAUAUUGACAAACACCAAUUCUAAGUGAGGGGGAAAUGGGAGGGUUUGAUCUAAAAAGUUCUCAAAACCUUGUUGUAUUAAAAAAAAAAUCCUCAAUUAAAAGGGGGGAAUUGAUGUGCAGAGAUUCCCAAAAUAUACUGGGUAACAGAUUUUUUUGAAGCAGCUUCCACAUUUGGACUCACUUUUCCCCAUGCAGAGGUUCAUAUUAGUGGAGCUGGCUAGCCUUCCCUUGUGAACAUUGUUUAAAAGUAGAUACAAUAUCAAGGAAUUUUGGAAGUUCUUAUUUUUAACCAGUAAAAUGAAAAAUUUCCACAGCUUGUAAUAAAAUAAGUGCUCAAGCAGAAGCCUGCCUCUUUUGCUCCAUGUAACUACAGCUCAAAACCUGUGCAAGGCUAUUCUGGGCCUGGGGUGCAGGAGGUGACUCAGUGUGUCCCUCCCUCACCCUUCCCCCACCCGUUUAUUCAGGUAAAAGCAGAUUAGAAUAAACAUCAAAGGCCGCUUUGGAAGGGAAGGGAAGUCAGAGACGUUGAGACCAGGGCUGAUGACAACCAUGUGGGUGACAUGCUGGCUUCUUAAUUAGAGGCAACCGCAAUUUAUGAGCACCCAUUUCCCAGGAACAGCACUAACUUUCACAGCUUCCUUUGUGUGCCCAUGGAAGAAGCAUUUAGAGCAUGCAUUCGCAAUAUAUAUAUUUUUUGCUCUCUUUUUCAUAAAUGUAAAAGUCUCAUGCCUGCUUUUAAUGUUAUCUGAAAUGUGAAAAUAAAUAAAUGUAUGUGACUACGA